UAUUAACAGAACCUUUCGGGGCGAAGAAUAUAGAAGUUAGUGGCGGACGGGUGCGUAACGCGUGGGUAAUCUGCCUUUGUCAAAGGAAUAACUAUUCGAAAGAAUAGCUAAAACCGUAUAACAUAUUAAUAGGGCAUCCUAAUAAUAUCAAAACGAUAGUGGACAAAGAUGAGCCCGCGUCUGAUUAGCUAGUUGGUGAGAUAAAAGCCCACCAAGGCAACGAUCAGUAGCCGACCUGAGAGGGUGAACGGCCACAUUGGAACUGAGACACGGUCCAAACUCCUACGGGAGGCAGCAGUGGGGAAUAUUGCACAAUGGGGGGAACCCUGAUGCAGCAACGCCGCGUGAGUGAAGAAGGCAUUCGUGUCGUAAAACUCUGUAGUAGGGGAAGAAAGAAAUGACAGUACCCUAAAAGAAGCCCC
rnacentral:rRNA from 1 species